UACACUCAGAGCUCCAGCUUCUUCAAAACUCAAGUCUAUGUCAGUGGUAUAAUUCAGGAUGAAUGUAUUUUAGCAAGCCCUUUUCUUUAUUUCAUUUUACGUGUUGUAAUUGUGGAUUCUGCUCUUUGGAAAUAUGUUUAUUCACAUCUUACUAAUCUUAAUGCUGUGUUCAGGUGUUUCAACAAACGCCAAAGUCCCCAAGACGUACAGGUUUAAACCACAGAAGAAGAAACCAUCCAUUAUGGGGAGCUUGACUUUUCUCAUGUGACUCCUAAACACGUCCCCAGUGCAGAAGAAGAGGAAACUGUCUACUCCCAGGUUCAGGGUUCAAAGCCUGUAGAGACCAGCGGACAAGAUGAAGAUGAUUCUCAAAGCCUUUAUGCCAAUGUAAAGAAAGUUAACUCAGGACAAUCAUAUUCAGCUCAAAAUUAGUGCUGCUACACUGCCAUCUGCUGGUGUGAUCAUGACAGACUACAGCAUGACAUCCUCAUAUUUACUCAUACCAGUGUUUUUUAAAGGUAGACUUAUAUAAAACUUUAUAUAACUUACUUACUGUACUGGAGGGUACAUCAUCUGUUAUUCACCAUCAAAAUGUUAGUGUGUAGCCUGGAAUGUUCCACAGUUGGACAUUAAACUUAUCUUUUCUUUAUCUAGGCAUUUUUAUUGCACUUGCUUUUUGAAUUCUGUAAAUAAUAUAUGUACUGUUUAAUCAUGUAGAAUAUAAUGUGAUAUUGAACCCACUGAACAAAUGUAACAGCCUGAAUUGAGCGUGGUGUUUCUUCCUUACUUUUCUGAAUGUUAGGACCUUUCUGCUUUGUGGAGUUGACUAUUUUUUUAAGUGCAUUAUUUGGGUUUUAGAUUGAUUUAUGGCCAGCCUCCACCAACAGCACCACUUGUGUUUAUCAAUAUCAAUAGCAUAGAGCAAAAUGCCCACUGUCCAUGUGCACCUAACUUUGUUUUCAAAAGCCAUGUCAUUUAUGAAGACCCAGAACAGGCUUGGGGACAAAACAUGCCAUUGUUUUACACCAGUAGGUAUGUGGAACCACUCGGUCUGUAGAUCAUUCACUUGAACACAUUCCAUACAUCCUGCAUAGAGGGAUUUUAAUGCAUGGUAUGAUACAUCAGCUGUGUGUGCAAAUGUAAACACCUGAAAAGUGUUUGCACCAGAAGAAAUGUGAAUGCUGCUCUGAAUGCUCCAUUAUCAUUAUCAGAGUGAAAAGUAAAUGAAGGGAAAUGUCUCUUUUUUUAAAACUUCCCGGGUAUGUGUAAAUGGGGCCAGAGAUGGUGCCGUCACAGAUAACUGAAUAGAAAUUUAGGCCUGUGUUUACACGUACAUGGGUAUUUUUAAAAACUGAGACAUUUCUGUUUGUUUGUUCCCAUCUUUUUCACGCAAACGGUGAAUUUGCCUCUGAAAACAAAUUUCUCUAAAAACUGAGGUGGAGAUUCUGGAAAACUAUGGUUUGGCGUUUGCGUGUAAAGUGAGAUAAACAGAGUUUUAGGAGCUGGUGCGCCAAAAGUGUGAUCUGUGUUUACCUUUUGCUCUGAUGAUGAUGAUGAUGAAACAUUCAGAGCAGCAGUCAAAUUUCUUCUGAGGCAAACACUUUUCAUGUGUUUGCUUUUGCACACACAGCUGAUGGAUCGUAUCCAUGACCAGAGACCAAUGAGGCUCGGAGGUCAGCAAUUUUACCACCACUUCACGCUCAGUAAUGCACAUUUUUCAAAGUAUUUUUGAGUAAUAUUUACAACUGUAAUGAAAUAAAUGCUACAGGUUGGAAUCUAAUCCAGGUGCCGCCCAGAGGCUUGACGUAGUUAUGAUGGCGCUCGGUGGCGUAUUUAUGUGGGUUGUGUGAUGUAUUCUGUUAUAAAGUUUGCUUUUAUUGUGAAACCCCGAACUGGAAGUUCUAACAUGACUCUGUAAGAUGUAUAUAGCAGAGAGACAAAUAAAAGAAGAGGAAUGUUGA